UUGCUUCAGCAGCACAUACACUAAACUUGGAACGAUACAGAGAAGAUUAACAUGGCCCCUGCGCAAGGAUGACACGCAAAAAUGUGACGCGUUCCAUAUUUUC
rnacentral:snRNA from 1 species